GACGGAGGAUGCAAGCGUUAUCCGGAAUGAUUGGGCGUAAAGCGUCCGCAGGUGGCAGUUCAAGUCUGCUGUCAAAGACCGGGGCUUAACUUCGGAAAGGCAGUGGAAACUGAACAGCUAGAGUAUGGUAGGGGCAGAGGGAAUUCCUGGUGUAGCGGUGAAAUGCGUAGAUAUCUGGAGGAACACCGGUGGCGAAGGCGGCAUCCUGGACCAAUACUGACGCUGAGGAGCGAAAGCCAGGGGAGCAAACGGG
rnacentral:rRNA from 1 species